rnacentral:rRNA from 1 species
GAUGAACGCUAGCUACAGGCUUAACACAUGCAAGUCGAGGGGCAGCACGGAGAUAGCUUGCUAUCUUGGGUGGCGACCGGCGCACGGGUGAGUAACGCGUAUCCAACCUGCCCAUUACUCUGGGAUAGCCUUGCGAAAGUAAGAUUAAUACCGGAUGUUGUUAAAAACCCGCAUGAGUUUUUAACCAAAGAUUUAUUGGUAAUGGAUGGGGAUGCGUGACAUUAGGUAGUUGGUGAGGUAACGGCUCACCAAGCCUACGAUGUCUAGGGGUUCUGAGAGGAAGGUCCCCCACACUGGAACUGAGACACGGUCCAGACUCCUACGGGAGGCAGCAGUGAGGAAUAUUGGUCAAUGGACGAGAGUCUGAACCAGCCAAGUAGCGUGCAGGACGACGGCCCUCUGGGUUGUAAACUGCUUUUAGUUGGGAAUAAAAAGAGGGACGUGUCCCUAAUUGUAUGUACCGUAUGAAUAAGCAUCGGCUAACUCCGUGCCAGCCGCCGCAGUAAAAC